rnacentral:rRNA from 1 species
UACGUAGGGGGCGAGCGUUGUCCGGAUUUAUUGGGCGUAAAGAGCUCGUAGGCGGCUUGUCGCGUCGGAUGUGAAAGCCCGGGGCUUAACUCCGGGUCUGCAUUCGAUACGGGCAGGCUAGAGUUCGGUAGGGGAGAUCGGAAUUCCUGGUGUAGCGGUGAAAUGCGCAGAUAUCAGGAGGAACACCGGUGGCGAAGGCGGAUCUCUGGGCCGAUACUGACGCUGAGGAGCGAAAGCGUGGGGGAGCGAACAGG